GGGUCCAUAGUUCAAUGGUAGAAUAUCUCUCUCCAAAAGAGCAGACCUAGGUUCGAUUCCUAGUGGGCCCGCCA
rnacentral:tRNA from 2 species